UACGAGGGGGGCAAAUGUUGUUCGGAAUCACUGGGCGUAAAGGGAGCGUAGGCGGGUUUCUAAGUCAGGUGUUUAAUCCCGGGGCCCAACCCCGGACAGGCACUUGAAACUGGGAAUCUUGAAUAGUGGAGAGGUCAGUGGAAUGGGGUGGUAGCGGUGGAAUGCGUAGAGAUCCCCAAGAACACCAGUUGCGAAGGCGGCUGACUGGACACAUAUUGACGCUGAGGCUCGAAAGCAUGGGGAGCAAACAGG
rnacentral:rRNA from 1 species